GGUAUUUGCACACCAUUUUUGUUCAUCUUUCAUCGUAGGCUCUUCUACCUGCUGUCCUUGAGAGGGGAACUGCUAGGUUGCUCAGCUAGAGCAUUGCGCUCGCACUCAGCGAACACUGAGAAACCGCCACUGGUUCUCCCCAAACUUCACACUUGGAAGUUCACCAGAGUGCAGACUCCCCUCUGGCCUUCCCACGCCACCAAAUCCCUGAAAGGUCUGAGCCCAGACAUCAGCCUUGUCAUCCCAGGAAAGGUCUGAGCCCAGACAUCAGCCUCCUCAUCCUAGGAAAGGUCUGAGCCCAGACAUCAGCCUUGUCAUCCCAGGAAAGGUCUUUUCACGCACCUGAGAUCAGGUCAAAAGGUCGAGUCCUUCACUGUUCUCAACAUCAAGUAGCAGGACACCAGGAUACUGUGGUCCUCCCCCAGCAGGCCAAGGCCAUCAGGCCUCACACCACUCUUAGGAGAUGAGCAUCCAUUAUGUGCAGUUUUGUGUUUUACGCAUGUACAGACACUUCUGGCAAGAUGAUACUUUGCACAGUUCAGAAUCAGCUUGAAGAGCAGUCUAGUAAAACCACUCAUUUUGGGUUCUUAGAUAGGAUGACACGACGUGAGCCCAGUACGGAAAUGAACGUUAUCAGUGCCCUUUGAGAAUGGUGAGUUUCCAGCACUCAUGUUUCUCCAGAAAGGGCAGCGGUCUCCCUUCUCCAAAGUCUUUCCCAGAAGAGUCACCAGAGCCGGAGCGGAAGCCCGCCACGAGCCACACGCCCCUGGGGCGGGACAGUGACCUGCUGCAGCGGUCCUUGGGCCCUCCCUCCAGUUCACACGGGACUUGGUGAGGACAUAAGCUACUGCACGCUCAGUGUGGCUUCCAAUUCCUCUGUAUUUGAAAGCAGCUGUGUGUAUUUUCCUCAAAAUGCCCUCUAUAUUCAGAGCAAGCAGUGUGAAUAUCACUCAGAAGUUACUACAGGGAUUUUUCUGACAAGGUUUGUGUGGGUUUUUAAAAUCUUAUACAAACAUCCCUUUUUAAGAUAAGAGAACAGC
rnacentral:lncRNA from 1 species